GGCAGGCCUAACACAUGCAAGUCGAGCGGUAGAGAGAAGCUUGCUUCUCUUGAGAGCGGCGGACGGGUGAGUAAUACCUAGGAAUCUGCCUGAUAGUGGGGGAUAACGUUCGGAAACGGACGCUAAUACCGCAUACGUCCUACGGGAGAAAGCAGGGGACCUUCGGGCCUUGCGCUAUCAGAUGAGCCUAGGUCGGAUUAGCUAGUUGGUGAGGUAAUGGCUCACCAAGGCUACGAUCCGUAACUGGUCUGAGAGGAUGAUCAGUCACACUGGAACUGAGACACGGUCCAGACUCCUACGGGAGGCAGCAGUGGGGAAUAUUGGACAAUGGGCGAAAGCCUGAUCCAGCCAUGCCGCGUGUGUGAAGAAGGUCUUCGGAUUGUAAAGCACUUUAAGUUGGGAGGAAGGGCAGUUACCUAUACGUGACUGUCUUGACGUUACCGACAGAAUAAGCACCGGCUAACUCUGUGCCAGCAGCCGCGGUAAUACAGAGGGUGCAAGCGUUAAUCGGAAUUACUGGGCGUAAAGCGCGCGUAGGUGGUUUGUUAAGUUGAAUGUGAAAUCCCCGGGCUCAACCUGGGAACUGCAUCCAAAACUGGCAAGCUAGAGUAUGGUAGAGGGUAGUGGAAUUUCCUGUGUAGCGGUGAAAUGCGUAGAUAUAGGAAGGAACACCAGUGGCGAAGGCGACUACCUGGACUGAUACUGA
rnacentral:rRNA from 1 species